AUUUUGAGGCCAUUUUAUUACAUCUUAGCAGCUUCACAGCAUUUCGCCAACCGUGCCCUUCAAAAUGGCGGACACUGAGCGGCUUCACCAAAGGCAUUCUCUACCCUCCAAUCAAUUCGUCUCCCGUUUCACUCGCGGUGGGACUUCUGGCGAUAGAGAGAAUACUUUCCCGAGGUUUCGACUGCAGAUGAUGUGCACGUAGCCUACUGUAAAUAAUGUGCUCUAAUCGGAAUGUAGAUACAAAUAUAAACAAUAUUUCGUGUUUUACAUGUAGCGUCUGUAUAGAUCCCGAGUAUAAGCACAGGGAAAUGUCAUUUCACAGGAUUGCCGCAAGCACAAGUUAAUUGCAAAAAUGUAGCUACUUCUCGUCCGCUAUGAGGUAACGCUAGGCUAUUAAGAAAUGUCACAUUUUGAAGCGUCCGACAUUGUGAAGUGUUCUAAUCAAAUGACGCCUUAGCAUUCAGCUGUGUACUGCAUGCUUUACUAUGUGAUCCGUUUAUUGUAGGACUGCGUCUAACAGUAGGCUACACUGCAAACAAACCGUCCUAUUCAUGAAUAACCAAGAGUAGGCACAAUUGUGAAAAUGUUUAAAAAGGAAGAUUUUAUUUAAUUAUUUUUUGGCCACCUCGCACCCCUCUAAAAAUCUUUUUUGGAAGGAAAACCGGUAACUAGCAACACACUGUUGAAAACAGAAAAUAUAUCCGUAACUAGACAUGGAGUUGUAUUUAAAAUGGCAUGUUAUAUGUUUUUAAUAUUCUCUGUUUUCAGUUUUGAAUAGUCGCAUUGCGAGUGAGAUCAAAGUAGGCCUAUAUGCUACUUCUGACAGCUAUAACUAUAGAUAUUUAAGCAAAAUUGUUAUUGUUUCUACUCUGUAUGACAUUAAUCCAAUUUCGAAAAGUAAUGAUAAUUAUAUAUCAUAUUUAUUACAUGCUUUUCGUUGUGUAGACAGUCUCAAAGUGUUGCAUAAAAGCAUUAAAAAGGAUUUUUUUGAAAUGAUGAUAAAGAGAAUCAAAGGAUAAAAACAAUCAAAACAGUAAAAUAAACUGGAACAAGUGGUUUGUUAAGUAGCCAGUUUUGUACGUCUUAAUUUCUUAUUAUCUGCAAUGUAAAUAGCUGCUUUCGUUAUUUAAUUGCUUUAUGUUCAGAAAUACUACCUUUCAAUGGUCUGUUAAGCCAUAUACAUCAGCAGUACUUCAACAGGCCUUGGCAGAAAAUUCACACUGAGUCUCUGAAAAAGUAGUGAGCUUAAAAAUUAGGCUAAGUGGCACACACUUGUUACAUUGGGCUGAAUCCCUUGCAUUUAGUCGCAAAGCUUGCUCUAGUGAGUUAAGACAUCUUCAGAUUUUUAUGACUUAUGCUUCUUCUCUUGUGUUGUACAUAGCUACACUCUCAGGGGUGUGGAAGGCAUUCAGGUCCUUGACUGACCCGGAUAUCAAUCAAGGUGCCCCAUCUUUGAGGACAUUCCAACCUGUUAUAUGCUCAUUCAAGGAGCUAGGAGGCUCCCAAAUAAUUUUUGAGCAUGGAAACAGAAGUGUAUCCUUAGCGGAAGUUUUUUUUUGGAAAGCGUGACUUGUAAUGACGCACCUCUCCCCGUCUGCCACGUCUGUAAUUGAUGUGGCUUCAAACUGACGCUUGAAAGAGCAAGAACGUUGUAAUUGCCUUAUACACAUUUCCUUGAUUUCUCCAUCCUUGCAUACUUUUCUUACUUCCUUUCCUUGCGCCCUCCAAAGGGUGGAGCUAGGAGCAAGGAAAGGAAGCAAGGAGAUAAAAUAAGCGAAAGGGAAUGAGCCGAUGUUGGCAACACACGAUUGCAGACAUCAAUUUGAUGUGUUUUUUUACUGGUUCGGCCUUCCAUACUGAAAGACUGACAAGGAGAAAAAAUGAGCAGUUGGAACGCACCCCCAGUAUAUAUAACUUUUUGCAUCUUGGGCAAUUUGCCUUUAGCUUUCUGUAGUUCUUUUUUAACCUUAGCAUGCACAUUGCAAUAUUCAGCCUUAUUACUCUCAGUGCUGUCGUUUUUAUAUAUGCCUACCGUAAGGCCCUUUUCAUGUUUCCCUAUGAUCUUAAUCCAGAUAUCCUCACCAGGCACGAGCUGAUCAGUUUCUGGAAUUUCCUGCACAUUAAAAUUUUCUUUUACAUAGAGGGCUGGAUCUAUCCUUCCUAAUGAGUUUGUACUCCUCUAUAUUAUAUUCAUCCCCAUCCUUCUCCCCAAGCCAUGUCUCUGUAAUGUCAACUAUGUUGUAGCCCCCACUAUUUAUAGCAGCCUCAAAUUCCAAAAAAUAAUUUUUUAUACUUCUUUUUGUGCAAUCGGACUAUGAUGUCUACCCCCUAAUAAUUGAGUCCCCCAAUAUCACCAACUCCAUUUUCCGGGUGCCCAGUGGCUCAUCAGUCAUCCCACUUUCAAGGCUUAAGGGCCAGGUCCAAUUCCUGCAAGGGCUGGAAUCGGUUGGACUCCACUCUGGAGAUGCUGCCCCUUUGUGGUGUGCAUGCUCUUUUUUGCGCUUGCUCCCUACUGUCACCCAACUUUCUCUCCCUACCUGCUCUGGAAUCUGCCCUUUCCCAGCUGUGGCGUGUGGGGCGGCAGUGUAGUAUAAUGUGUAAGGAGCUGGUCUUGUAACCUAAAGUCAUAGGUUCGUUUCCCAGGUUGGAUACUGCCGUUGUACCCUUAAGCAAGGUACUUAACCUGCAGUGCUACAGUAUAUAUCCAGCUGUGUAAAUGGAUGCUUCACUUCAAAUCACUAAUACACUGUUUUACCCCAGCCUAAUUACAGUAGAGCCUGACCUCAGUUUAAUCCUUCAUUCCAGGAACUGGCUAGUUCUUAAUCCGAUGAACUUUAAGACUGUGGACAUAACACGCAUAACAUAAAUGGUCUUAUAAUAAAUAAAUUGUCUACUGAAUUCAAUUGCUAACUCUAUUCUGAAAUGAAUACUGUAAAAUACACUAUUUGUCGAUCAUUCAUAAACGAUACACCCUAGAUCCCUUUUUGUUUUGUUUUUUUUUUUAGCUGUAGACUUGUUUGUAUGCCUACUUUAUAAUGAAACGUUUUAAUCCAUGCCAUUAUUUCAACAUUUCUGAAAUGAUAUCAUUUUAUCAGAAAAAAAUUGGGGGAAAAAAAUGGUGCUGCCCUUUAACAUUUGAAAAAUGCUUUCUGCAUUCUACUCUGGCCCCACCCCAACUGUGAUAUCUGAGUACCUCUUUGGAGAUACUACUGCAUGUAGAUGUCAAUCAAGUUAUCUUGUCGGAAAAUUGUUGCCGCCCACAGAUGUGAUGGUUUACUUUUUAAUAUGAUGGAACACUUUGGUGCAGUGGGUACCACUGCCUUACAGCAAAAAGGUCCUGGGCCUUUCCAUGUGGAGUUUGCAUGUUCUCCUCGUGUAUACUUAGGUAUCCUCCGGGUACUUCGGUUACCUCCCACAGUCCAAAGACAUGUAGGCUAAUUGGAGACUCUUAAUUGCCCAUAGGUAUGAUUGGGUCAGUAAAUAGUGAGUGAAUGGUGCGUGUGCCCUGCGAUAGAUUGGCGGCCUGUCCAGGGAGUAGUCCAGCCUCUCAUUCAAUGCAUGCUGGGAUAGGUUCCAGCACCCCCCUGCCCAGGAUGAGUGGGUAUAGAUAAUGGAUGGAUGGAACACUGCCAGCACCUGAUUGGCUAUUGGUGUGGGUCCAACGCUUUUCAAACUGCUGAAACAUGGCAGCCUGUUCAAAAAACUCUUAUAUUCCACCUAAAUGGUACACUAAAAUAUUCACUAAAAAACAUUGGAGGUGUGAAAUAAUAAUGUAAUUGCUGAAUCUUGGUUCAUAUAUGAUCUGCAACUAUUUGUUUGUUCCGAGUUUCACAAGCCUACGCUGUACAAAUAAUGUGCAUAUAGAAUACUUUAUGUAAAUCUGAUGGACACACCUACUCCACCCACCCCAGCAUGCAUUUCUCAGAAUUGUGUAGCAGGCAGUGCUGAGCUGAAACAGUUCAAAUACUGAGUGCAAUUACUCCUUAAUUGCUAGGAAUGUGCAUCAUUUGUAAUGGCUCGAUAGGUACAUUGUAUUUCAUUAUUCAAGUUGAUUGUUGAAUGGGUGUGGGAUGUGAAUAUUUCCAGUGCGGGUCAGCAGCAUGUGCAAAUGAGUUACUUACAGGCACAAUGUAGAAAUUUCAUUGCUUUCACCUUAAAACAUGAUGAGCUGAAUCUGUUAUCUGGACUGUACCUACAAUGAAGCAGGUAACCACUUGGUGGAAAAGAACAAUUCUCAAUUGGCACUACCGGCACAGCAUUUAGGCCAAAGGAGUCUCCAUCUAAAUAACUCUAAGCAAGGCAGAUAAAUGAAUAAUCAGAAAUAUGAUCCUAUGUAAUGCCAGGCUUAUGGAAAUGUUGGAACCAAAAUCUGUGUUAAUAGAGUUAUUUAGGAUAUUAGUUUCAAUACUAUGUGGACUCAGAGAAACAGGAGCCUUGAUUGAUUUUUUUAUCAAGGCCGAGAACAUUGAAACAAACGUGGGUGGCAGUGACCUGCAGGUAGAGCUAAAGAUCAAUGAAGCCUGAAAAUUCAGAAAAAUGCUUGCAGCCAGAUAAAUAUAUGUAUGAUAUACAGGACAGCGUACAAGCCUUGAAGUGAUCUAGGGUGUUUAUAUAUGGCUGUUUUCUGUCCGAUCUUUUGCAGAUGUAGUCUAUUUGUGCUUUGUAAUUAAUAUGUAGUAGAUUUAGAUUUUCUCAUGAGUGCUGCUAUAUAUUUUUUUUAGGAUGUGUGGAGGUUAGUGGCCCCCACUGGACUGAUAGCUCUUAUUGUGCAGCUGCAUUAGGAGCUGCCAUGGGUCUCAGUGCUGCAGCCGAAGACACAGCCUUCACCUGCAGAAGCUGCCGCUGGUGCUGAGGAGUUAAAUCGAUUUGGGUUUGUGUUCCCGGCAAAGUCAGACAGUGGGAAUGGUUUGUCUACAUUUCUCAGCUCACCCACACAAUGUUGUGAGGGGUUUAGCACAAAUCCGAAGCCUUAUUCCUGCACCCUGUGUGGGAAGACUUUCACUCUUGUCAUCAUGCCUGAAAACACACCAGAGCCCACCGUGCAAAGCUUCUCACUCAAUCGUCAAGCUCAAAAAAAAUCUCAUCAGAGUUCACACAGGUGGUGAGACGCAUAGGUCACACAGGUGAGAAACUGUACACUUGCCCUCAUUGGAUGAAUUUUGCUCAGUCAAGGAAUCUUAAAACAUCAGCAGAUCCCCUCAGGGGAGAAUCCAUACUCAUGUUCAGUGUGAGGUGAAAUUCUCUGACUCAAGCAGCUUUCAAAGGCAUCAGACAUUUCACUGUGAGUUCACAUGGCCUGUGAGUUGUUUUGACCCCAUUGUGGAAGGAAUUUAGGGUAUUACAGUAUUACCUCAAUAGACGGGAAAUUUGAGGCAAGAUAGCUUUAACAUGUACAACUUCACAAGUAAAUGCAAGGAAAACUAUUUUUUGUUGUUCUGAAUUCAUAAACACCUGAAUGUUCGAUUUGAUUCAGAAAAUGUAAUAACUUGUAUUUAGGUUUUAUGUUCUUUGAAACCCUACAAACUCAAUCUCAGAUUCAAAACUCAGAUUGAUGUAUACCAAUGUGCAAGAUUUAAUGUUACUUGUAACAGUCGUUUAUAUGACAUGUGCACAGACACAUACACACCAUGACAUCACAAGUCAGCACUAUGACAUCACCACUGACUGUAUUUUUGUUUAAAUCCAUACAUUGUUUGCAUCUUUUUUUUAAGAAUACGAAGAUUUUAAUUAAUAAGAAAUUCAAAUAUUCAAAAACCAGGAAGUCUUAAAACCCACCAAGAAUAAAAUGAAAAUAGGAUAAUAAAAAGACCAACAGUAAUUAAUAAUACUCAACAGUAAUUAUACUCAUGAGCACAAACAUUGACAUUGUAUAAUGUACAACCAUUGUCUGUCUGAAAAAUCAGUUCACAUUUUAUCAAUCAUUUACUUCUCAUAGCUCAGGCAAGGGGAAAAGCCUGGAGAUGUACUGUAGUCCCUUUCCCACCACGGGUUACAUUCCUGUAUUAUCGCACAGUUGAUGAGUCUGAAUUUGGGGAUGGCUUGAGUGUGGGAAAAUGGGACUCAGUCCUAAAUUCCUCUAAUGUACACACAAAGGUUAAAAAAACACACCUUAAAAAAGUUACCUCAAUUAUACUAAAGUACAAAGACCACACAAGUAUACCAAAGUACAAAACUAGCAAUAUUCUAAAUGUAAAAAUUCUCAACAUGGCUGCAACGACUUUCUUUGCAAAAAAAUAAGUGCCAGAUGGUAGAAAUACAAUAAAACACUGGCACAACCUUUAACCUGAAAAUACGCUAAAUGAAUAUGAGGAGGUUCCAGCCAGUCGUUUACAUGGUCACCACCUCCCAUACAUAGCAUUCUGCAACCAGCCUCCUGCAUAACUACAGAAGCACAAACACAUUCUACAGCCUAAUGAAAUCAUGGGUACAAACAGGAAUUAGCUGGUCAUUUCAAUGGAACAUAGGCUAGAUAGCAACAUUUCACUUUAAAGCCACUCAUCACCUUCACAACAGCUUUCACGUUUACAUUUGCAUGAUGGCGAAUCGAAAUGUCAGUUGUCAAACAGACAGCUGUUACUCUAACAUGGUUAUAGAAAGUAAUAAAAAGGCAAGAAAAUGAAGAAUUUAAUUCACAGAAUAAAAUGUCAUAUCCAUAUGGCUCUGUCAUAAAUAUGUCUGGCUUUGUUUUGGUAGUAAUACACAUCGUGUUGUAAUUUUAACACCCUUGACAUCUAAGCAGCCUCAAGUUAUUCUGGAUUUGUGCACCAGAAAUGUCUGUUCAACUUUAUAGUAUUGCAUGUCAGUAUCUGCCAUAACAUAAGCGUAGGCUUCAGAGAGAAUUGAGGCUAUAGACACUAACCCUAUACAUGGUAUUCAUAGUAGCCCUUUUGGUAAUCAUCAAAGAUAUUCCUCCCACCAUAUGGUGAGUAUGUGAAGCAAACUAUAGCUUGUAAGAGUAGGUUGACCGUCCAGCCAGACAUCAUUCUGUCACUUCUGUCGUUGCUAAAUUACUUGACGAAAUGGUUCAUUGAAGUCAUGAAUAAUGGUUGCCAGUUACUGAGCAACACGUUUGUGUCACUUGCAAGUUCAUAUGCAUUGGCAUAUGCCAAAUAAGGUGCCAUUGCUCAUUUCCACCAUUUCCCCAGUAAACACUGAUUGUCGGGGUGUGGUGUUCUCAAUUGCUAUGUUUAAUGCCCAGUCGCAACUCCGAAG